AGGGGGAAGCCGGUGCGAAUCCGGCACUGACCACGCAGCCGUGAGCCGUCCCGUGGACGGUGAGUCGGAAUGCCC
rnacentral:ncRNA from 2 species